ACAAAAUUUGCCGGAUUAGGUUUCCCCCGACGAAAAUAUCUUUGCCGACGAAAUUUCGUCGGGAAAGGUCUUAAUUUUAAAAAACAAGUAUAAACUUAGGAUGUUUAGGUUAAUGAAUUUAUAAAAAUUUUAUUUUUAGUAACUACAUAAUAUAUUUGGAGAUUUAAUUAGUUGAAUUAGCAAUUAUAUUUUAAUUAAUUUAUUUAUUUAAUGACUGAUUAUGAUUAAAUAUUUUAAUUAACUUCAUGAAUUAUAUUACUUAAUGAAUAGUAAUUCAAUUUUCUCUUCUUCUUUUUCUCCUUUACUAAUUAAAGUAAUUAAAAAAGUGAAAUACAUACCAUGCUACUUAAAGGGUGUAGCCUACCUUUUCAUUAAAAAAAAAAAAAAAAAAAUUUUAAAAAUUUUAAAAAAAAAAAAACUGAGUAUAGCCGUGCGGCUAUACUAUUUUUAAUAUAAAAAGGCGCCACGUGUCGACUUUUUAAAAAACACCGAGUAUAGCCGUGCGGCUGUACUAUUUUUUGGUCUUAAAAAAGGAGCCUCCAGCGAUUAGGCGCCACGUGUCCCCAAAAAGUAUAGCCGCCCGGCUAGACUAUUUUUCAAAAAGAAAAAUAUAGUACAGCCGCACGGCUAUACUAUGUAAAUAUAGUAUUUAAUAAAUAAAUAAAAGAAAGAAGGACCCUCCAAGUUGCAUUAGCUUGUACUUUAUAGAUAUUAAUUUGCUAGUUUAAACAUAUCCAUAUUUUUAAACUUUAUACUUUUGAAAAAAAAAAAAAACACAUGAACACUUCUCCCGACGAAAUUUCGUCGGCAAAGAUCUAUGCCGACAAAAUUUGCCGGAUUAGGUUUCCCCCGACAAAAUUAUCUUUGCCGACGAAAUUUCGUCGGGAAAGGUCUUAAUUUUUAAAAAAUAAGAAUAAAACUUAGGAUGUUUAGGUUAAUUAAUUUAUAAAAAUUUUAUUUUUAGUAACUACAUAAUAUAUUUGGAGAUUUAAUUAGUUGAAUUAGCAAUUAUAUUUUAAUUAGUUUAUUUAUUUAAUGACUGAUUAUGAUUAAAUAUUUUAAUUAACUUCAUGAAUUAUAUUACUUAAUGAAUAGUAAUUCAAUUUUCUCUUCUUCUUUUUCUCCUUUACUAAUCAAAGUAAUUAAAAAAGUGAAAUACAUACCAUGCUACUUAAAGGGUGUAGCCUACCUUUUCAUUAAAAAAAAAAAAAAAAUUUAAAAAAAAAAAAUUUAAAAAAAAAAAACUGAGUAUAGCCGUGCGGCUAUAUUAUUUUUAAAUAAAAAGGCGCCACGUGUCGACUUUUUAAAAACACCGAGUAUAGCCGUGCGGCUGUACUAUUUUUUGGUCUUAAAAAAGGAGCCUCCAGCGAUUAGGCGCCACGUGUCCCCAAAAAGUAUAGCCGCCCGGCUAGACUAUUUUUCAAAAAGAAAAAUAUAGUACAGCCGCACGGCUAUACUAUGUAAAUAUAGUAUUUAAUAAAUAAAUAAAAGAAAGAAGGACCCUCCAAGUUGCAUUAGCUUGUACUUUAUAGAUAUUAAUUUGCUAGUUUAAACAUAUCCAUAUUUUUAAACUUUAUACUUUUCAAAAAAAAAAAAAAACACAUGAACACUUCUCCCGAUGAAAUUUCGUCGGCAAAGAUCUAUGCCGACAAAAUUUGCCGGAUUAGGUUUCCCCCGACGAAAAUAUCUUUGCCGACGAAAUUUCGUCGGGAAAGGUCUUAAUUUUAAAAAAUAAGUAUAAACUUAGGAUGUUUAGGUUAAUUAAUUUAUAAAAAUUUUAUUUUUAGUAACUACAUAAUAUAUUUGGAGAUUUAAUUAGUUGAAUUAGCAAUUAUAUUUUAAUUAGUUUAUUUAUUUAAUGACUGAUUAUGAUUAAAUAUUUUAAUUAACUUCAUGAAUUAUAUUACUUAAUGAAUAGUAAUUCAAUUUUCUUUUCUUCUUUUUCUCCUUUACUAAUCAAAGUAAUUAAAAAAGUGAAAUACAUACCAUGCUACUUAAAGGGUGUAGCCUACCUUUUCAUUUAAAAAAAAAUUAAAAUUAAAAAAAAAAACUGAGUAUAGCCGGCUAUACUAUUUUUAAUAUAAAAAGGCGCCACGUGUCGACUUUUUAAAAACACCGAGUAUAGCCGUGCGGCUGUACUUUUUUUGGUCUUCAAAAAGGAGCCUCCAGCGAUUAGGCGCCACGUGUCCCCAAAAAGUAUAGCCGCCCGGCUAGACUAUUUUUCAAAAAGAAAAAUAUAGUACAGCCGAACGGCUAUACUAUGUAAAUAUAGUAUUUAAUAAAUAAAUAAAAGAAAGAAGGACCCUCCAAGUUGCAUUAGCUUGUACUUUAUAGAUAUUAAUUUGCUAGUUUAAACAUAUCCAAAGUAGAUAUUAAUAGGCCACUAUACAAUAUUUUAAUAUAAUUUUUAUUCAUAUUCAAUAAUAUGUGAUAAUUGUUUGUAUAAUACGUGAACUUUGUGUGUCUUAAUGAAAAUUUUGUAAAACGUAUGUGUAUUAAGCAUUACAAAUACGUACAAACAUGUAUAAUACGACUAUUGUACGUUUGCUUUUUAAAAAAAGGAGAUGCGUAUAGAACACGAAUGUAUUAUUGGAAACCACGUACGUACACACACACACACACAUAUAUAUAUAUUACGACUAAUUAAAGUAAUUCAAAAAGGAUAAGAUAUUACUUAAUUACAUAUAUUAAAUUAAGGAAGUUGGCCAAAAGAAAAAGUAAAGAAACUAAUUUUAUUUUUUUAAAAUUUAUACUUUUCAAAAAAAAAAAACACAUGAACACUUCUCCCAACGAAAUUGCGUCGGCAAAGAUCUAUGCCGUCAAAAUUUGCCGGAUUAGGUUUCCCCCGACGAAAAUAUCUUUGCCGACGAAAUUUCGUCGGGAGAGGUCUUAUUUUUAAAAAAUAAGUAUAAACUUAGGAUGUUUAGGUUAAUUAAUUUUUAAAAAUUUUAUUUUUAGUAACUACAUAAUAUAUUUGGAGAUUUAAUUAGUUGAAUUAGCAAUUAUAUUUUAAUUAUUAUUUAUUUAAUCACUGAUUAUGAUUAAAUAUUUUAAUUAACUUCAUGAAUUAUAUUACUUAAUGAAUAGUAAUUCAAUUUCUCUUCUUCUUUUUCUCCUUUACUAAUCAAAGUAAUUAAAAAAGUGAAAUACAUACCAUGCUACUUAAAGGGUGUAGCCUACCUUUUCAUUAUAUAAAUAUAAAAUUUAAAAAUAAAAUAAAAAGUCCUAGCCCUAAACGACGUCGUUUUGGCUAGGUCAUUUUAAAAAAUUGCCUUAGCCAAAACGAUGUCGUUUUGCCAAGUAGUUUAAAAAAAUAAAAAAAACAGAACAACAGCUGGCCCACGAAGCUUCUUCUUCUGCAUGGGGUCACUUCCAUGACUGCCAAGGGAAAAAACCAAAUCCUACCACUAAAAUUCAGAUCUGCCAUGGGGUCGUCUGACCCCAUUAACCCCAUGGUGGAUCCGCCACUAACCAGAAUUCAAAUCUUUUACAAUCAUUUAUAAAUUUCCUUUUUUUUUUUUUUAUACAAAAC
rnacentral:lncRNA from 1 species